CGGACGGGUGAGUAACGCGUGGGUAACCUGCCUUGUACUGGGGGACAACAGUUGGAAACGACUGCUAAUACCGCAUAAGCGCACAGCUUCGCAUGAAGCAGUGUGAAAAACUCCGGUGGUACAAGAUGGACCCGCGUCUGAUUAGCUGGUUGGUGAGGUAACGGCCCACCAAGGCAACGAUCAGUAGCCGGCCUGAGAGGGUGAACGGCCACAUUGGGACUGAGACACGGCCCAGACUCCUACGGGAGGCAGCAUG
rnacentral:rRNA from 1 species